rnacentral:rRNA from 1 species
UACGAAGGGGGCUAGCGUUGUUCGGAAUUACUGGGCGUAAAGCGCGCGCAGGCGGCUAUCCAAGUCAGUGGUGAAAGCCCGGAGCUCAACUCCGGAACUGCCAUUGAAACUGUUUAGCUUGAGUAUGAGAGAGGUGAGUGGAAUUCCCAGUGUAGAGGCGAAAUUCGUAGAUAUUGGGAAGAACACCGGUGGCGAAGGCGGCUCACUGGCUCAUUACUGACGCUCAGGCGCGACAGCGUGGGGAUCAAACAGG